rnacentral:rRNA from 1 species
AAAAGGUGGCUAUGCUACCGCUUUUGGAUGGGCCCGCGGUGCAUUAGCUAGUUGGUGGGGUAAAGGCUUACCAAGGCAAUGAUGCGUAGCCGAACUGAGAGGUUGAUCGGCCACAUUGGGACUGAGACACGGCCCAAACUCCUACGGGAGGCAGCAGUAGGGAAUCUUCCACAAUGGGCGAAAGCCUGAUGGAGCAACGCCGCGUGGGUGAAGAAGGUCUUCGGAUCGUAAAACCCUGUUGUUAGAGAAGAAAGUGCGUGAGAGUAACUGUUCACGUUUCGACGGUAUCUAACCAGAAAGCCACGGCUAACUACGUGCCAGCAGCCGCGGUAAUACGUAGGUGGCAAGCGUUAUCCGGAUUUAUUGGGCGUAAAGGGAACGCAGGCAGUCUUUUAAGUCUGAUGUGAAAGCCUUCGGCUUAACCGGAGUAGUGCAUUGGAAACUGGGAGACUUGAGUGCAGAAGAGGAGAGUGGAACUCCAUGUGUAGCGGUGAAAUGCGUAGAUAUAUGGAAGAACACCAGUGGCGAAAGCGGCUCUCUGGUCUGUAACUGACGCUGAGGUUCGAAAGCGUGGGUAGCAAACAGGAUUAGAUACCCUGGUAGUCCACGCCGUAAACGAUGAAUGCUAAGUGUUGGAGGGUUUCCGCCCUUCA